GAUGAAGAACGUAGCGAAAUGCGAUAAGUAAUGUGAAUUGCAGAAUUCAGUGAAUCAUCGAAUCUUUGAACGCACAUUGCGCCCGCUAGUAUUCUGGCGGGCAUGCCUGUCCGAGCGUCAUUUCAACCCUCAAGCCCCCGGGCUUGGUGUUGGGGAUCGGCGAGCCUCCGCGCCCGCCGUCCCCUAAAUCUAGUGGCGGUCUCGCUGUAGCUUCCUCUGCGUAGUAGCACACCUCGCACUGGGAAACAGCGCGGCCACGCCGUUAAACCCCCAACUUCUGAACGUUUGACCUCGGAUCAGGUAGGAAUACCCGCUGAACUUAAGCAUAUUAAUAAGCGGAGGA
rnacentral:misc_RNA from 1 species